rnacentral:rRNA from 1 species
UACGUAGGUGGCAAGCGUUGUCCGGAUUUACUGGGCGUAAAGAGCGCGCAGGCGGUCGUUCAAGUCGCGUGUGAAAGCCCCCGGCUCAACUGGGGAGGGUCACGCGAUACUGAUCGACUCGAAGGCAGGAGAGGGAAGUGGAAUUCCCGGUGUAGUGGUGAAAUGCGUAGAUAUCGUAAGGAAGACCAGUGGCGAAGGCGGGUCUCUGGACAGUUCCUGACGCUGAGGCACGAAGGUCAGGGGAGCAAACGGG